GAGGCAGCAGUGGGGAAUAUUGCGCAAUGGGCGAAAGCCUGACGCAGCCACGCCGCGUGAGUGACGAAGGCCUUCGGGUUGUAAAGCUCUGUCGGGAGGAACGAAACACCAGUCGGUUAAUACCCGGCCGGAAUGACGGUACCUCGCAAGAAAGCACCGGCUAACUCCGUGCCAGCAGCCGCGGUAAUACGGAGGGUGCAAGCGUUGUUCGGAAUCACUGGGCGUAAAGCGUGCGUAGGCGGCUUGGUAAGUCGAGAGUGAAAUCCCAGGGCUCAACUCUGGAACUGCUCUCGAUACUGCUGAGCUUGAGUGUGGGAGAGGGAAGCGGAAUUCCUGGUGUAGCGGUGAAAUGCGUAGAUAUCAGGAGGAACACCCGUGGCGAAAGCGGCUUCCUGGCCCAUUACUGACGCUGAGGCACGAGAGCGUGGGGAGCAAACAGGAUUAGAUACCCUGGUAGUCCACGCCGUAAACGAUGAGUGCUAGGUGUUGGAGGUAUUGACCCUUCCAGUGCCGUCGCUAACGCAUUAAGCACUCCGCCUGGGGAGUACGGUCGCAAGACUAAAACUCAAAGGAAUUG
rnacentral:rRNA from 1 species